UCAAUUCUGCCCUGUUCGUGAUUUCAGGUACAUUGAGCCGUAAGCUUAAAAAAGGGAUCGGUCACUGUUAGCGGUGUGCAUGCCCAAAUUUAUUUGGGAAGCCUAAUGUUAUUACUUACUUUUCCCACCUGGUUCGCCAGGUUCAAUAAACUCCUGGAACACGACAGGGUGGUUUCAUU
rnacentral:other from 1 species